rnacentral:rRNA from 1 species
UCUCCUACNGGGAGGCAGCAGUGGGGAAUUUUGGACAAUGGGGGCAACCCUGAUCCAGCAAUGCCGCGUGUGUGAAGAAGGCCUUCGGGUUGUAAAGCACUUUUGUCCGGGAAGAAAUCGCACCUGAUAAUACCGGGUGUGGAUGACGGUACCGGAAGAAUAAGGACCGGCUAACUACGUGCCAGCAGCCGCGGUAAUACGUAGGGUCCAAGCGUUAAUCGGAAUUACUGGGCGUAAAGCGUGCGCAGGCGGUUGUGCAAGACCGAUGUGAAAUCCCCGGGCUUAACCUGGGAAUUGCAUUGGUGACUGCACGGCUAGAGUGUGUCAGAGGGGGGUAGAAUUCCACGUGUAGCAGUGAAAUGCGUAGAGAUGUGGAGGAAUACCGAUGGCGAAGGCAGCCCCCUGGGAUAACACUGACGCUCAUGCACGAAAGCGUGGGGAGCAAACAGGAUUAGAUACCCUGGUAGUCCACGCCCUAAAACGAUGUCAACUAGUUGUUGGGGAUUCAUUUCCUUAGUAACGUAGCUAACGCGUGAA